UGGGGAAUAUUGCACAAUGGGCGCAAGCCUGAUGCAGCCAUGCCGCGUGUGUGAAGAAGGCCUUCGGGUUGUAAAGCACUUUCAGCGAGGAGGAAGGUGGUGAACUUAAUACGUUCAUCAAUUGACGUUACUCGCAGAAGAAGCACCGGCUAACUCCGUGCCAGCAGCCGCGGUAAUACGGAGGGUGCAAGCGUUAAUCGGAAUUACUGGGCGUAAAGCGCACGCAGGCGGUUUGUUAAGUCAGAUGUGAAAUCCCCGGGCUCAACCUGGGAACUGCAUUUGAAACUGGCAAGCUAGAGUCUCGUAGAGGGGGGUAGAACUCCAGGUGUAGCGGUGAAAUGCGUAGAGAUCUGGAGGAAUACCGGUGGCGAAAGGCGGCCCCCCUGGACGAAGACUGACGCUCAGGUGCGAAAAGCGUGGGGAGCAAACAGGAUUAGAUACCUUGGUAGUCCACGCUGUAAAACGAUGUCGAUUUUGGAGGUUGUGCCCUUGAGGCGUGGCUUCCGGAGCUAACGCGUUAAAUCGACCGCCUGGGGAGUACGGCCGCAAGGUUAAAACUCAAAGGAAUUG
rnacentral:rRNA from 1 species